GAGUUUGAUCUUGGCUCAGGACUAACGCUGGCGGCAUGCCUAACACAUGCAAGUCGAACGAAGGCUUCGGCCUUAGUGGCGCACGGGUGCGUAACGCGUGGGAAUCUGCCCCUCGGCUCGGAAUAACAGUUAGAAAUGACUGCUAAUACCGGAUGAUGACUUCGGUCCAAAGAUUUAUCGCCGAGGGAUGAGCCCGCGUAAGAUUAGGUAGUUGGUGGGGUAAUGGCCUACCAAGGCGACGAUCAGUAGCUGGUUUGAGAGAAUGAUCAGCCACACUGGAACUGAGACACGGUCCAGACCACUACGGUGGGCAGCAGUGAGGAAUUUUCCGCAAUGGGCGAAAGCCUGACGGAGCAAUACCGCGUGAGGGAAGACGGCCUAUGGGUUGUAAACCUCUUUUUUCAGGGAGGAAUAAAUGACGUGUACCUGAAGAAUAAGCAUCGGCUAACUCCGUGCCAGCAGCCGCCGUAAG
rnacentral:rRNA from 1 species